GGCGGACGCGGCUGGAGGAGAGAGAGGGCGCUGUCUUCCUGGCAAAAGAGUCUGACCCACAGGAACCGAAACAAAACAAAACAGAAAGAAGAGAAAGGCCGCUCGGUUGAGCCUCCAGGUUUUGUGAGUCCUGCGGAAGGGAGCUGCGAUGCCAGCCGAUUUUUUUUCUUUCACAUCCAAGCGCCGAAGCAGGUGGUCCCACCUGGUUUGGCGGUACUUUGCACAGGAACAACCAAGAGAUAGAAGACCCCAUUAUUUACUGUCACCAGUUGGCCGGAGCAGACACUCGGAGACCAGAGGGCCACGCAGACAAUUACUAUCAAACAUUCUCCAUCCAAACUCACAAAUCUAAAAACUGAAUUUAUAUUAAUUCGGGAGAAACUGCUAUCCCUCUAUUCCAAAAGUCCAUACUCAUCUGUCACGCCCAAAGGAUAAUGUGUUCUUGGCUUUCCAUGCUCAUCAUAAAACAGGCAAAGCAAAACAAAAGGAGCCCAAACUCACUCAUCUUCUGUCUUGAAAGGUCCCUCUGUAUUAAUGGACGUUGUUAAAGGCCCUCCUGAUAACUAGAAGAGAUCAUCUCCUUACAUGUCCGCCCCCUGAGAGUCUCAAGCUCCAGUCUCCAUGUGAAAUUCCUGGAGAGUUGUGACUCUUCCAUAACCCUUUCAUCAGAAUUCAUGUAGCCCUGUUGUUCCGCCUUUGGCAAGAGAGCUGUUUCCUAGGAGUAACUGGGUGGGCUUCAGUCCGCCUGCCUCUUCACAUUGAGAAACGCUUCUCUUGUGGGAACGUCUGUUUCUAUUCACCCGAUUUUGUAAUUUCUUUGAUCAGCCUAAAUAUUUUCUUGGCAAACGGAAAUUGACCAUGCCAUGAAUAUGAUAACAACCUGCUUAGAAAAAAAAGCUAUUUUGUUUCCAAGCAGCAGAAAAAGGGGGCGGGGGGGCUAGCUGGUAGAAUGUCUGUAACAGAUUCCUGCACAUAUAUAUUUUCUGCAUUCUCUAAAGCGGCUUUGAGGAAAGCUGCCUUUUCCCCUAAUAUAGUUUCUUCCCUUUCUCUCCUCCCUUCAGAUAAACACACACCUGGUCUCUUAAAAGUCUUUGAUAGUCUUUAUUAAAAAAAAAAAAAAAAGAACUUCAAUGGAUGCCUCUGGAGAAUUUCCCUUUAAAACAUAGAUGAAAGGCAAGGUUAAUACAAUGUUCUCUUAAUCCCUUUGCCUUCUGAGUCAAAAUAAAUAUUUUCUUCUGCAUGUGAUUGUACAUCCUGCCAUUUGGCUGUGGCUAUAAGCAAAUCGACCGGUAAUAAAAGUGUUUGGAGGCUGUGUAUUAAAUGCAGUUCUCUUGAAAUCAAGGCGGGGGGGGGGGAAGCUUUACUUCACAGGCAAGAGUUGGUGGGUUUCUGAAAAAGCUGCAAGAAAAAGACCUUUCACCUCUCAUUAGUGAUGCCAUCAGUGCUCCAGCAGAGUGGAGCUGAGGUCAUGUUACAUAUGGCACACAGUCUGCUCAGCACUUGAAACGUCAGCUUUGAAAUUUUAGAGAGGGGAAAGGUCAUCUUUAAUAAGCUAAAGUCUGGGGCUCCCAUUGCCCUCGUUGCAAACUGGGUGGGUGUCCAUAUGCUUCAAACCUUCUGGGUAAGUUUUUUUUUUUUAAUUUGCAGUUUUAAGCUGAUUUUUGUUUCCUAUCUUCAUUGAAGCUAUAAUGUUUUCAGCUGCUAAUGCUCCAAAGGCCUUUCAUUUUUAUAGCAACUCUGUCAUCUUUCCUUUUCUUUUCAUGCAAUCAUAAAACCGUCUGUUCUGAGUGAUAGCUUUUUAGAACUUAACUUCCCAGGAGAAAUGAAGUGUAUCUGUCCAUCUGCAUACAUGGAUCCAGACAUGUGGGCUAUAAGGUUACCCUUCUGAGUGGGUAAUUUAGACUUCACUCUUCUACACUACAUAAUUUACUGAACCUUCAAAACAUUAAAACUUCCAUAUUAUGUAAAAGCUCUAGUUUCUGAAACUUCCUGGGUACUACUAAAAUUUUUCAUGCCAGUUACUGAAAUUUCACAUUUUAUUUUUACCAUGUGGAGGAAACUCUCAAAUCAGAAUAUAUCGAUUCUUCCAAAAGGCUUAAAGUUAAGGCUAAUUGACAGAUGCUAUGAUGGUAGAUACAAUACUGAAAAAAGAGUGCUAAUAUCUCACUUCCUUGUUCACAAAAUAUUAGGAACAUUUGUGAAUGUUUAAUCUCAUAUUUGUUCAAGAAAUUAAGUCAACCAAACACAAGCUUCUGAACUAUCCCCAGAUCCCUUUUUAGCUACCGUCAAGGUGGAUAUAAAUAUUUUUCUUUCAUGUAACUCUACAAGGGACUUCUCAGUAGUGAUUUAUCAUUUGCUCAGUUCCAGAAACUUUUUUCCCAUAUGGGUCUACAGUCCAAGGGGAGCAGCCUCACCAAAGUUAACAUGCAUUCCUAUCUUACUUUCCUGUCUAUCUGUCAGUCCAUUUUAUCUGUUUAUCAGGGCAGAUUUUAGUUGUUUCUUCAGGUUUUUCUUCUCACAUAAAAGUUACAUAGUUUUUCCUUGUAAAAUAAACUUUAGAAAAUAAGGCAACUAUUUGUGAUAAUCAGAUGCAAACAGUAAACUCAAU